rnacentral:rRNA from 1 species
CCCGGCGGUCAUAGGAGCAGGGCCACACCCGUUCCCAUUCCGAACACGGUAGUUAAGCCUGCUUCCGCCGAUGGUACUGCAGAGGCGACUCUGUGGGAGAGUAGGUCGCUGCCGGGA